rnacentral:rRNA from 1 species
GACGAACGCUGGCGGCGUGCUUAACACAUGCAAGUCGAACGGUAAGGCCCUUUCGGGGGUACACGAGUGGCGAACGGGUGAGUAACACGUGGGUGAUCUGCCCUGCACUUUGGGAUAAGCCUGGGAAACUGGGUCUAAUACCGUAUAGGACUACGCGAUGCAUGUCGUGUGGUGGAAAGCUUUUGCGGUGUGGGAUGGGCCCGCGGCCUAUCAGCUUGUUGGUGGGGUGAUGGCCUACCAAGGCGACGACGGGUAGCCGGCCUGAGAGGGUGUCCGGCCACACUGGGACGGAGAGACGGACCAGACUCCUACGGGAGGCAGCAGGGGGGAAUAUUGAACAAUGGGCGCAAGCCUGAUGCAGCGACGCCGCGUGGGGGAUGACGGCCGUCGGGUUGUAAACCCCUUUCAGCACAGAAGAAGCGUAAGUGACGGUAUGUGCAGAAGAAGCACCGGCCAACUACGUG